rnacentral:rRNA from 1 species
GAUGAACGCUGGCGGCGUGCCUAAUACAUGCAAGUCGAGCGAACAGACGAGGAGCUUGCUCCUCUGACGUUAGCGGCGGACGGGUGAGUAACACGUGGAUAACCUACCUAUAAGACUGGGAUAACUUCGGGAAACCGGAGCUAAUACCGGAUAAUAUAUUGAACCGCAUGGUUCAAUAGUGAAAGACGGUUUUGCUGUCACUUAUAGAUGGAUCCGCGCCGCAUUAGCUAGUUGGUAAGGUAACGGCUUACCAAGGCAACGAUGCGUAGCCGACCUGAGAGGGUGAUCGGCCACACUGGAACUGAGACAGGGUCAAGACUCCUACGGGAGGCAGCAGUAGGGAAUCUGCCGCAAUGGGCGAAAGCCUGACGGAGCAACGCCGCGUGAGUGAUGAAGGUCUUCGGAUCGUAAAACUCUGUUAUUAGGGAAGAACAAAUGUGUAAGUAACUAUGCACGUCUUGACGGUACCUAAUCAGAAAGCCACGGCUAACUACGUG